rnacentral:misc_RNA from 1 species
UAUAAUAUUAAUGGCCUUGCGGCACAAAGCACGUUCAUCAUUGUUAAUAGCGUAUAAUGAUUUAAGGGAAUGCAAGAAAAUUACCAAAAAGUGGCAAUCAACUUAAAACUCCCUCAAAAAUGUGCACAGGUGUUUGGAAGAUGAUUGUUAGGGCAAGCACAUGCAUCCAAAAAUUGGCUGCCAGCAUCAAACCCCAUCACAACUCAUUAAUGAUCCUUCCGCAGGUUCACCUACGGAAA